rnacentral:lncRNA from 1 species
AGUGAAGAGAUUUCAUACAGUCCUCAUCCUCAGGAUCAAUGCUGCAGAAAGAAAAGAAGUUCUCUAUAGAACAAUGCUUUAAGGUCUCCAUGUCUUUCUUACACCUUCUACGGGAAAACAACAUCAAUGGGGAAAGCCAGCUAAAAUGAGGACCUUAGCAUCAUGUUCAUGGGUAUGGAUUACUUGUGCAAGAAUUUUUUAAGAGUCAAGAAGAGUUAUGCAGUGAUUUUUCUAUCUGCUUUCUGGCUGCCAAUUUUGCAAAAUUUCUGGAGGCAGUAACUCAUGUAAACUCCUUAGGCACAGCAUGUGAGGACCUGAGGUCUACUUUUCUCUAAUGAUCUGAUUCCAAGAUGAAGAGUCUCCCAGAUAAGGUUCCUGCUGUCAGUAGCACAUGAGAAAAGAUUACUGAGAGACCCUUCUCCAGCAAGAACCAGCAGGUGAAAAGUAAAUGAAAAAGCACCUUGCUGUGUUCCUUAAGAGCUAACUCUACACUCCAUGUGCUCAGGUGCUGUCACUUCUGUAGGGCAGAAGCCCUGGUGCCUGAAGUGUGUGCUUAUUCUUAGCAGUCUUCAGCAGGAACUGAUGAUUUUUAUCUUUGGGAGGUUCCCAUCAAACCACAGUAAUACUGUUAUUAAAAUAAUAAUAAUAAUUAGAUAAGAAAGAAGCAAAUGCUUGUUCAUAUUUCAACAGUGUUUUACUAAGAAGAGUGCAAUCCUUUGCUGACGACAUAAGUUAGGUAGCUUUACUGACCUUUGUGUUUGGUUGUUUGUUCUUU